rnacentral:rRNA from 1 species
GAUGAACGCUGGCGGCGUGCUUAACACAUGCAAGUCGAACGAGAGAAGAUUGGUGCUUGCACUGAUCCGAUCGAGUGGCGGACGGGUGAGUAACGCGUGGGUAACCUGCCUCAUACAGGGGAAUAACAGUUGGAAACGGCUGCUAAAACCGCAUAAGCGCACGGUAUCGCAUGAUACAGUGUGAAAAACUCCGGUGGUAUGAGAUGGAUCCGCGUCUGAUUAGCUAGUUGGUGAGGUAACGGCCCACCAAGGCAACGAUCAGUAGCCGGCCUGAGAGGGUGAACGGCCACAUUGGGACUGAGACACGGCCCAAACUCCUACGGGAGGCAGCAGUGGGGAAUAUUGCACAAUGGGGGAAACCCUGAUGCAGCGACGCCGCGUGAGUGAUGAAGUAUUUCGGUAUGUAAAGCUCUAUCAGCAGGGAAGAUAAUGACGGUACCUGACUAAGAAGCACCGGCUAA